GCAGAGCAGACAUAGAUAUGAGUAUGAUCGACCAUAUGCAAAUUGGAACUCAGAUCUGGGAUUUAUGACCAUUGUAUGUCCAAAGGUACGAAAACAACAGAACUAGUGGUGAGGACAACAUAACACGGGUUAAAAACUUCCACCACACCACCAAAGGGCUAUAGAUAUGAUGCAGUAAACUAUAUAUACACAGCCGUGCAAUUUUUCUUUCGAUUACACAUAUCUAAACAUGAUGCAGUCAACGAUAUACUAGAGCGUGCAGAGCAGACAUAGAUAUGAGUAUGAUCGACCAUAUGCAAAUUGGAACUCGGAUCUGGGAUUUAUGACCAUUGGAUGUCCAAAGGUACGAAAACAACAAAACUAGUGGUGAGGACAACAUAACACGGGUUAAAAACUUCCACCACACCACCAAAGGGCUAUUUAGGAUGAACUCCACAAAGAACUAUGUAAAAGAGUCCCUGAACUAGGCCAUAAACAAACUGAAGUUUAUGCCUUUCUGGGUCGGGGUGGGGUGGGGUCAUUCCUUCUUUGUUUCCUUUUCACAGAGGGCAGAAUAUAGGCAAAGAGUGGUCACAUUGUACUCGCAAACCAACAGAGGCUGAUUUCACCAUUUUUUCAAAAUUUGCAAAUUUUGCCACAAAUUGUCAGGAACCACGUGAGCUGCACAGGGCAAGAGUAGACAAGGAAUAAAUAGAAAACUGAAGGUCAGAGGUCCAAUUCCCAGAGAAGCAAUAUCUAUUUUUUGUUUUUUUUUUUAGCCUGUUCCUAUCCCAUCCUAUAUCUAUUAUAAAGCCAUUGUGUGUAUGCACUAUGUGCUGUGUGCAGGUUGCAAAACCCUGCUCCCUUACUUACGCGUCCCCACCCCA
rnacentral:lncRNA from 1 species